UGGCAUGGUCUACAGCAGAGGGCA
rnacentral:siRNA from 1 species